rnacentral:rRNA from 1 species
AGGGCGCAUGGCGGAUGCCUUGGCUCUCGGAGGCGAUGAAGGACGUGAUAAGCUGCGAUAAGCUUUGGGGAGGUGCAAAUGACCUUUGAUCCAGAGAUUUCCGAAUGGGACAACCCAAUAUCUUGAAGAGGUAUUAUCCAACGUUGUUGGAGGCUAACGCAGGGAACUGAAACAUCUUAGUACCUGCAGGAAAAGAAAAUAAACAAUGAUUCCCCCAGUAGUGGCGAGCGAACGGGGAACAGCCCAAACCAUCCAUGUUACGGCAUGGGUGGGGUUGUAGGACUACGCCGUUGCAUGAAGACAUCAGAGAAGAACUUUCUGGAAAGAAAGACCAUAGAGCAUGACAGUUGCGUAUUCGAAUGUUGUCGAAGCAUAGUAGUAUCCUGAGUAGCGCGGAGCACGAGGAAUUCUGCGUGAAUCAGCCGGGACCAUCCGGUAAGGCUAAAUACUCCCGAGAGACCGAUAGUGAACCAGUACUGUGAAGGAAAGGUGAAAAGCACUUCGAACAGAAGAGUGAAAUAGUUCCUGAAACCAUGCGCCUACAAGCGGUCGGAGCUCUUACGAGUGACGGCGUGCCUUUUGCAUAAUGAACCUACGAGUUACUUUUUCCGGCAAGGUUAAGGGUCUUGAGACCUGCAGCCGAAGCGAAAGCGAGUCUUAACAGGGCGUUCAGUCGGAAGGAGUAGACGCGAAACCAAGUGAUCUACCCUUGGGCAGGUUGAAGGAUGGGUAACACCAUCUGGAGGACCGAACCAAUAAGCGUUGAAAAGCUUCUGGAUGACCUGAGGGUGGGGGUGAAAGGCUAAUCAAACUUGGAGAUAGCUCGUACUCCCCGAAAUGCAUUUAGGUGCAGCCUUGCGGGUUACUGAUGUGAGGUAGAGCGACUGAUAAGAUGCGAGGGCUUCACCGCCUAUCAAGUCUUGACAAACUCCGAAUGCGUGUCAGUUCUAUGUCAGGAGUGAGGGCAUGGGUGCUAAGGUCCAUGUCCUAAAGGAGAACAAUCCGGACCAACAGCUAAGGUCCCGAAAUGAAUACUAAGUUGAACUAACGAAGUCAGAUUGCUAAGACAGCUAGGAUGUUGGCUUGGAAGCAGCCAUUCAUUUAAAGAGUGCGUAACAGCUCACUAGUCGAGUGGUCCCGCAUGGAUAAUAAUCGGGCAUAAGCCCGGUGCCGAAGACGUGGAACCGCCCUUAUGGGGCGUGUUGGUAGGGGAGCAUUCCGGAGGCCGCUGAAGGCGGGGCGCGAGCCGUGCUGGAGGUACCGGAAAAGCAAAUGUAGGUAUAAGUAACGACAAGCAGGGCGAGAAACCCUGCCGCCGCAAGACCAAGGGUUCCUGAUCAACGCUAAUCGGAUCAGGGUAAGUCGGGACCUAAGGGGCAGCCGUAAGGCGGACCCGAUGGACAAACAGUCAAGAUUCUGUUACCUCGUACAUGAGUGAAGCAGCGACGGAGCAGUGACACGCCCGCGCACUGACGGAAUAGUGCGUUAAACCGCGUAGGUAAAGGGAAGGCAGGCAAAUCCACCUUUCCUGCUGAAACGGGACAGUACCGAGCGCCCCCGGGCAAUCGGAUAGCGGCGGUAAUCAGACUUCCAAGAAAACCUGCUAAACAAAUCAUGUGCGGGCCCGUACCGCAAACCGACACAGGUGGUCGGGUAGAACAUACCAAGGCGCUCGAGAGAUUCACGGUUAAGGAACUAGGCAAAUUGACCCCGUAACUUCGGGAAAAGGGGUCCCGUCUCCAGGGACGGGCGCAGAGAAUAGGUCCAGGCAACUGUUUAACAAAAACACAGGGCUGUGCGAAGUUUAAAGAUGAAGAAUACAGCCUGACACCUGCCCGGUGCCGGAAGGUUAAGAGGAGACGUCAUCGCAAGAGAAGCGUUGAAUUGAAGCCCCGGUAAACGGCGGCCGUAACUAUAACGGUCCUAAGGUAGCGAAAUUCCUUGUCGGGUAAGUUCCGACCUGCACGAAUGGUGUAAUGAUCUGGACGCUGUCUCAACCGUGAGCUCAGUGAAAUUGUAGUAUCGGUGAAGAUGCCGAUUACCCGCGAUGGGACGAAAAGACCCCGUGAACCUUUACUAUAGCUUAACAUUGAAUUUGGGUAAUUGAUGUGUAGGAUAGGCCGGAGGCUUCGAAGCAGGUACGCCAGUAUUUGUGGAGCCGCUGUUGAAAUACGGCCCUUUGAUUAUUUGAGUUCUAACCCGUUGAUGCGGGGACACUGUUUGGUGGGUAGUUUGACUGGGGUGGUCGCCUCCAAAAGUGUAACGGAGGCUUCUAAAGGUGCCCUCACGACGAUUGGUAACCGUCGGCAGAGUGUAAUGGCAUAAGGGCGCUUGACUGGGAGACUAACAAGUCGAUCAGGUAGGAAACUAGAGCAUAGUGAUCCGGUGUUUCCGUAUGGAAGGGACAUCGCUCAAAGGAUAAAAGGUACUCCGGGGAUAACAGGCUGAUCCCUCCCAAGAGCUCAUAUCGACGGAGUGGUUUGGCACCUCGAUGUCGGCUCGUCACAUCCUGGGGCUGGAGAAGGUCCCAA